rnacentral:tRNA from 1 species
GGGGGAGUAGCUCAGCCAGGUAGAGCACCGGCCUUUUAAGCCGUGGGUCCCGGGUUCGAAUCCCGGCUCCCUCACCA